UUACGGGAGGCAGCAGUGGGGAAUUUUGGACAAUGGGCGCAAGCCUGAUCCAGCAAUGCCGCGUGAGUGAAGAAGGCCUUCGGGUUGUAAAGCUCUUUUGUCAGGGAAGAAACGGUGGGAGCUAAUAUCUCCUACUAAUGACGGUACCUGAAGAAUAAGCACCGGCUAACUACGUGCCAGCAGCCGCGGUAAUACGUAGGGUGCAAGCGUUAAUCGGAAUUACUGGGCGUAAAGCGUGCGCAGGCGGUUUUGUAAGUCUGUCGUGAAAGCCCCGGGCUCAACCUGGGAAUUGCGAUGGAGACUGCAAGGCUUGAAUCUGGCAGAGGGGGGUAGAAUUCCACGUGUAGCAGUGAAAUGCGUAGAGAUGUGGAGGAACACCGAUGGCGAAGGCAGCCCCCUGGGUCAAGAUUGACGCUCAUGCACGAAAGCGUGGGGAGCAAACAGGAUUAGAUACCCCGGUAGA
rnacentral:rRNA from 1 species